ensembl:lncRNA
GGUCUAUGGUGAUAGAUGGGAUGGGCUGAGAGGGUGGUCUAUGGUGAUAGAUGGGAUGGGCUGAGAGGGUGGUCUAUGGUGGUAGGUGGGAUGGGCUGAGAGGGUGGUCUAUGGUGAUAGAUGGGAUGGGCUGAGAGGGUGGUCUAUGGUGAUAGAUGGGAUGGGCUGAGAGGGUGGUCUAUGGUGAUAGAUGGGAUGGGCUGAGAGGGUAGUCUAUGGUGAUAGAUGGGAUGGGCUGAGAGGGUGGUCUAUGGUGAUAGGUGGGAUGGGCUGAGAGGGUGGUAUAUGGUGAUAGAUGGGAUGGGCUGAGAGGGUGGUCUAUGGUGAUAGGUGGGAUGGGCUGAGAGGGUGGUCUAUGGUGGUAGAUGGGAUGGGCUGAGAGGGUGGUCUAUGGUGAUAGAUGGGAUGGGCUGAGAGGGGGGUCUAUGGUGAUAGAUGGGAUGGGCUGAGAGGGUGGUCUAUGGUGAUAGGUGGGAUGGGCUGAGAG